GACGAACGCUGGCGGCGUGCUUAACACAUGCAAGUGGAGCGACGAACCAGGGCUUGCCCUGGGGCAGAGCCGCGAACGGGUGAGUAACACGUGGGUAACGUGCCCCGAUGACUGGGACAACCCGGGGAAACCCGGGCUAAUACCGGAUGUGCCCCCUCACAUCAGUGAGGUGUGUAAAGGAAGCUUCGGCCUCCGCAUCGGGAUCGGCCCGCGGCCCAUUAGCUUGUUGGUGAGGUAACGGCUCACCAAGGCUGCGAUGGGUAGCUGGUCUGAGAGGACGGUCAGCCACACUGGGACUGAGACACGGCCCAGACUCCUACGGGAGGCAGCAGUGGGGAAUCUUGCGCAAUGCGCGAAAGCGUGACGCAGCAACGCCGCGUGGGGGAAGACGGCCUUCGGGUUGUAAACCCCUUUCAGUUGGGACGAAGGUCGGGCGGUUAACAGCCGUUCCGGCUGACGGUACCUUCACAAGAAGCCCCGGCUAACUACGUG
rnacentral:rRNA from 1 species